rnacentral:rRNA from 1 species
AUGGAGAGAGUUGCCUCGCGCUGUGUCAGCCUCCUAGCACAAAGGAGGGGCUACUCUGCGGCCGUGACCAUGGUGAAAGGAGCUGGGAGGAGCGCCGCCGCCACCGAGGAGAAGACCGCUGUCGCGGCGAAGAGCGCAAUGGCGGCCAAGAAGGACGUGGGCACUGGCGCUGAGAAGGCCGCGUGGGUGCCGGACCCGGUGACUGGUUACUAUCGGCCGUCGGGCGGCGGCAAGGAGGUGGCCGCGGCUGACUUGCGCGCCAAGCUGUGCUGCUAA